GGGUUAAAUCCCGGGAUUUUGGGGCAGGUGGAGCGGCGCUGUCCCCGCUGCGGGAACGAGGGGAUGAGUUACCACACGCGUCAGAUGCGCUCGGCCGACGAGGGCCAGACGGUGUUCUACAGCUGCCCCCGCUGCGGGUUUCAGGAGAAGGAAGAUUCCUGAAAAAUUCCCGAUUUUUGGGCUCUUUCCGAGGAAUAAAAGCGACCCCCGCUGGA